GCCGCGGUGCGGCCGCUGCCAUGUUGGCCGAAGUGGCGCUCUCUGCCAGGGCAAUUGGCUCUCGCUGCGGCUGCCAGGUCGGUAUGCACAGGGUCUUCCCUCUUCCCCUCGCCCGCGGUUGGCCCUGAGAGGCGGCGUCCGGCGGGAUGGAGAAAAGUAGGAUGAACCUGCCCAAGGGGCCGGACACGCUGUGCUUUGACAAGGACGAGUUCAUGAAGGUGCGCCCGGGGGGCUGCGCUCCCCGAGCCGAGGCGGGUGGCCUGUCUUCCUUUCCCUCCGAGGCCUCCUCCAGCUGCUGGGCGCGCACGCCCGGGAUCAACCCCCGGCGGGACCUCGCUGCCUUCGCAGAAGACUUUGAUGUCGAUCACUUUGUAUCUGACUGUCCAAAGCAAGUCCAGCUGGAAGCACUUAGAGAUGACCUGGAGCUCUACUAUAAGCUUAAAACAGCCAUGGUUGAGCUCAUCAACAAGGACUACGCAGACUUUGUCAACCUGUCAACAAACCUGGUGAUUCUAGAGCAGAUUGUUGAUAGUCGUCUGAGUGAUCUCCAGCUCAUGUAUGAUAAACUCUUGGAGUUCGUUCCCCAUCACUGCCGCCUUCUUCGAGAGGUCACAGGAGGAGCCAUCUCAAGAUUUAGAGAAAUAGCGGGAUCCUUAGAAGCAGCACUUACAGACGUCCUGGAAGAUGCACCAGCUGGGAGCUUGUAUCACCUUUUGGCUUCUCAUAGGACGUGGAGCAGCCUUCGGAGGUGCUGGUCUGACAAGAUGUUCUUGCCGCUGCUGGCGCAUCGUCUGUGGAGACUGACGCUGCAGAUCUGGCACGGUACUCCAUAUUUGUCAAGGAGGUGGAAACAUUUUAUUGCUGAAAUCCUUUUUCAGCCUUUACUCAGGCCCAUCUCUAAUGAAAGUGCUAAGGAUGUUAAAAAGCCUUUGGUAACUGGCAGCAAAGAUCUUUCUAUCACCCAAGGACUUCGCGAAGACCAAGCGAGUGGCCCUUCUGAAACAAAGCCCAUCAUCUCCACUUCCAGCACUCAGCUUGUCUGUGUGGUCACAGACCUGGACAGGCUUCAGGAGCAGCUCCAGAACUCUUAGAAACAAUCAAGCCAAAAUGUGAAGUGAUGGGCUUUAAGAAUUUUUCUUCCAUCUCAGAUUGAGCCUCUGCCCCACAACAAGAGGAGCCACUGCAGUGAGAAGCCUGCACACCACUAGUUAUGGCCCACGCUCACCCAAACUAGGGAAAAGCCCACACACAAAGACCCAACACAGCCAAAAAUAAAUAAAAUCGUUUUCCUAAAAAAUGCAUAUCUAACAAAGAAUCUGUACUCAAAUUGUCCAAGAAAACUAGAGUAAAUAAGCCCAUUCAUAACUGGUAAAGAUUGAAAUAGACACCGGGCCAUGGAGGUUAUACUAAUAGUAAACUCUCCUACAGAAACAUACUCAAGAUACUGGUGGGAUGCAUGCACAGCCUCCUUUGGAGGACAGUUUUUUUCAGUAACCACAUGGGACAAGCACUGAAUUCUAUACAUGACAAGUGGUGGAAGCCAGGUAUCUUACUAUUGGUGUGGGAAGUUACGGAUAAACAAAAGGAAAGGUUACAAGAUCCAUGAAGACAUCAUCACAAAUUACCUUUAACUGAAUAUGUUCAAAGGUAAGCUGGAAUACAUGUAUAUAUUUCCAAGUAUUGUCAGCUGAGCAUAGCUCCUACAUGUAUGUUUUAAAUAUCGUUCUCUAGUGAAAGAGAACAGGAGAUGUCCCUGGUGGUCCGGUGGUAAAGGAUCUGCCUACCAAUGCAGGGAACACGGGUUCAAUCCCUGGUCCUAGAAGAUUCCACAUGCCCAGGGGCAACGAAGCCCCCGUACAACUACUAAAGUACUUGCAUGCUCCAGAGCCCAAGUUCUGCAACCAGAGAAAGUGCUGCAAUGAGAAGCCGGGCUCCUUUGUCCAUGGGAAUUUUCCGGGCAAGAAUACUGGAGUGGGUUGCCAUGCCCUCCUCCAGGGGAUCUUCCCAACCCAGGGAUAGGAUUCCUGCAUUGGCAGGUAGGUUCUUUACCACUAGCACCACCUGGGGCAAAAGUGCCUAAAUGGAGAUCAGGGAAACCCAGUUAGGAGAAGGGACUCCGAGGGAAGGAGACUCUCAGUCACACUCAGAGAAGCCUGGCAGGUAGUUCUGCAGGUGGAAGAGGACAAGGAAGCAGGCUGGAGCUGUGUAGAAGAUGAAAGAGGGAACUAAAGCAGGGGCCCCCAACGUCUAGGAUCUAAUGCCUGAUGAUCUGAGGUGGAGCUGAUGAAAUAACACUAAAUGUAAGUGUUCGGGCACUCAGCCAUGUCCAACCCUUUGUAGCCCACCAGGCUCCUCAGUCUAUUGAAUUCUUCAGGCAAGAAUACUGGAGUGGGUUGUCCUUUGCUUCUCCAGGAGAUCUUCCCGACCCAGGGAUUGAACCCGGGUCUCAUGCGUUGCAGGCAGACUCUUUACCAACUGAGUCACCAGGGAACAGAAAGAGAAAUAGAGUGCACAAUAAAUGGCCUGCACUUGAGACAUCCCAAAACCUCCCCCCACCCCUAUCUGUCAAAAAAUUGUCUUCCAGAAAAACUCCCUAGGUCAAGGAAGGAACUUUAAGUGUACUCAGCUGUCCCAGGUUGCUGGCUUAGGGAGAUGCUGAAGCAGGGGUGUCCCAAGAGGCAGAAGCUCCCUUGCGUGGGGUCCUCAACAGACCUCCGAUAGCCUUGGUGAUGAUCAGAGAGAUUUGUUUCAUUUUUUUAAAAUAUCCUUGUGGGAUAAACUUAAAACUUAGCAAUUCUCUUACAGUCUUCCUAAUAAAAAGUUUUCUUUCUUUACUGAUCUGUGAAGUACCAACUGUGACAAUCGGAGUUCUAAUAUACCUCAUAGUGUUGCUGCCACUAUGGAUAUUAUUAUGUGAAAUUGAACAUAUUCAAUAAAAAUGAAGCAUC